GUGGGGAAUAUUGGACAAUGGGGGAAACCCUGAUCCAGCAAUGCCGCGUGAGUGAUGAAGGCCUUCGGGUUGUAAAGCUCUUUUAUCAGGGAAGAUAAUGACGGUACCUGAUGAAUAAGCUCCGGCUAACUUCGUGCCAGCAGCCGCGGUAAUACGAAGGGAGCUAGCGUUGUUCGGAAUUACUGGGCGUAAAGGGCGCGUAGGCGGCCUUGUAAGUUAGAUGUGAAAGCCCCGGGCUUAACCUGGGAACUGCAUUUAAGACUGCAAAGCUAGAGGACGAGAGAGGAAAGUGGAAUUAUGAGUGUAGAGGUGAAAUUCGUAGAUAUUCAUAAGAACACCAGUGGCGAAGGCGACUUUCUGGCUCGUAUCUGACGCUAAGGCGCGAAAGCGUGGGGAGCAAACAGGAUUAGAUACCCGGGUAGUCC
rnacentral:rRNA from 1 species